UUCCAGACUCCUACGGGAGGCAGCAGUGGGGAAUAUUGCACAAUGGGGGAAACCCUGAUGCAGCGACGCCGCGUGAGUGAAGAAGUAUUUCGGUAUGUAAAGCUCUAUCAGCAGGAAAGAAGAUGACGGUACCUGACUAAGAAGCCCCGGCUAACUACGUGCCAGCAGCCGCGGUAAUACGUAGGGGGCAAGCGUUAUCCGGAUUUACUGGGUGUAAAGGGAGCGCAGGCGGCUUGGCAAGUCUGAUGUGAAAGGCUGGGGCUCAACCCCAGGACUGCAUUGGAAACUGUUAGGCUAGAGUGUCGGGGAGGUAAGCGGAAUUCCUAGUGUAGCGGUGAAAUGCGUAGAUAUUAGGAGGAACACCAGUGGCGAAGGCGGCUUACUGGACGACAACUGACGCUGAGGCUCGAAAGCGUGGGGAGCAAACAGGAUUAGAUACCCUAGUA
rnacentral:rRNA from 1 species